rnacentral:rRNA from 1 species
GACGAACGCUGGCGGCGUGCUUAACACAUGCAAGUCGAACGGAGUGGCGAACGGGUGAGUAACACGUGGGUGAUCUGCCUUGCACUUCGGGAUAAGCUUGGGAAACUGGGUCUAAUACCGGAUAGUGCAAGAUGAGCUCGCGGCCUAUCAGCUUGUUGGUGGGGUAAUGGCCUACCAAGGCGUCGACGGGUAGCCGGCCUGAGAGGGUGUACGGGAACAUUGGGACUGAGAUCGGGCCCAGGCGCCUACGGGCGGCAGCGGUGGAGAGUAUUGCGCAAUGGGCGGAAGCCUGAUGCAGCGACGCCGCGUGGGGAAUGAAGGCCUUCGGGUUGUAAACUCCUUUCGCCAGGGACGCGGUACCUGUAUAGGAAGCACCGGCUAACUACGUGCCAGCAGCCGCGGUAAUUC